UACGAGGGGGGCAAGCGUUGUUCGGAAUUAUUGGGCGUAAAGCGCGCGCAGGCGGCCUUGCAAGUCAGUGGUGAAAUCCCAGAGCUCAACUCCGGAAUUGCCAUUGAAACUGCUGGGCUUCGAGUACGGGAGAGGUGAGUGGAAUUCCCAGUGUAGAGGUGAAAUUCGUAGAUAUUGGGAAGAACACCGGUGGCGAAGGCGGCUCACUGGCUCGAUACUGACGCUGAGGUGCGAAAGCGUGGGGAGCAAACAGG
rnacentral:rRNA from 1 species